AAUAGGUCAACUAUAAAUGGUGUAUGGAAUGAUUGUAAGGUGUACAUGUCUAGCUGGCAGGUGUCAUCUGACCUUGACCUCAUUUUCAUGGUUCAGUGGUCAAAGUUAAGUUUUUGAGUUUUGGUCUUUUUUUCUAAUACUAUAUGUAAUAGUUCAACUAUAUUUGGUGUAUGGAAAUAUUUUAUGAUUUAUAUGUCAGUCACGCAGGUUUUAUUUGACCUUGACCUCAUUUUCAAGGUUCCUUGCUCAGUGUUAAGUUUUUGUGUUUUGGUCUGUUUUUCUUAUACUGUAUGCAAUAGGUCUACUAUAUUUGGUGUAUGGAAUGAUUGUAAGGUGUACAUGUCUAGCUGGCAGGUGUCAUCUGACCUUGACCUCAUUUUCAUGGAUCAGUGGUCAAAGUUAAGUUUUUGAGUUUUGGUCUUUUUUUCUAAUACUAUAUGCAAUAGUUCAACUAUAUUUGGUGUAUGGAAAUAUUUUAUGAUCUAUAUGUCAGUCAUGCAGGUUUUAUUUGACCUUGACCUCAUUUUCAAGGUUCAUUGCUCAGUGUUAAGUUUUUGUGUUUUGGUCUGUUUUUCUUAAACUAUAAACAAUAGGUCAACUAUAUUUGUUGUAUGGAAGAAUUGUUAGCUGUACAUGCCUGCCUAGCAUGGUUCAUCUGACCUUGACUUCAUUUUCAUGGUUCAUUGGUCAAUGUUUAGUUUACUUGGUUAAUGUUAAGUUUAUGUGACAGUUGUAAUAAAGCUUUAUAUUUAGGACUAUCAACAUAAUAUAAAUGAUUAGUAAAGAAGGCGAGACAUUUCAGCGUGUGCACUCUUGUGUUGAAUAUUUGCACAUUAUUUAAAUUUUAUUUUUCUUGUAAGUAAUAUUUUAUGAUGUACUGUGUAUCAUAGGACUUUUAAAAAUACAUUCAUUACCUUUCUUAAAUUGUCCGUUUAUAAAUUUUGAAAUUAUAUGGAAACUAAGGUUUCAACUCCCUCAUGCAAAGUUGACCUUAGAUGGAUUUGGCAAUUUUUUUUAGGUCCUAUUUGGUCACACAUAGCUCUUCAACUGUUUUGGUUCUCAUACACCCUUGGCUUUCAAAUGUUCGGCUUUCAGCAUCCCUGAUGAAGGUAAAUCCAGAAAAUCACUUCGGACGCCUGGAAUUUAUAACAUGUUGUUAUCACAUUCAACUUCAAAAACACCAUAAUUUCAUUGUGUUCAUGCAGGUUUUAAACAGAUAAACAGUCAAUAGAUAUAAGAAGAUGUGGUAUGAGUGCCAAUGAGGCAACUCUCCAUCCAAGUAACAAUAGAUAUAAGAAGAUGUGGUAUGAGUGCCAAUGAGACAACUCUCCAUCCAAGUAACAAUAGAUAUAAGAAGAUGUGGUUUGAGUGCCAAUGAGACAACUCUCAAUCCAAGUCAUAAUUUAUAAAAGUAAACCAUUAUAGGUCAAAGUACGGUCUUCAACACGGAGCCUUGGCUCACACCGAACAGCAAACUAUAAAGGGCCCCAAAAAUUACUAGUGUAAAACCAUUCAAACGGGAAAACCAAUGGUCUAAUCUAUAUAAAAAGUCUGGUAGUUCUGUCAUUCAGUUCACUAAGUCCAUCCAUUUCCAUGACAUUACUUCAUAUGAAUGGGAUGUGUAAAAUUAUUAGAUAGUAUUGUUUAAACACUUAUUUCAACUUACUUCAGAGUAACAUCUUGUUUGGAGUUGGACUUUUUAUAUGAUUUGGAGUAUUUGUUCUUUAAUGGAGUAAAAAAACGAGGUAUCUUAUCUCAUUAAAAAUUCUCAUUUGUUUAAAGUCAUUGUUAGCCUUGCAAGUACCAACUUUUGUCCCUAAGCAUUUUUCAUGGUGUUUUUUUCCGGUGAAAACCCUUAGUCUGCAAAACAAAAAUGUUGUUAUGAGUGAAAAUUUUCAGUAAGUUAUUGACUAAAAUUAAUGUCAUGUGCUGGACAUCCAUUGUUUUAUGUUGUCAAAAUAAGUAUUAAAUUUUUGUAAUUGUUUUAGAGGAUCCUGUUACAAGUGGUUUUUUUUAUAUUCAUCUUAAUAAAAAUGUUUUUAUGUUUGCAUUAAGAAAAUUCUGUUCAUAUUUCUGUAGAAUAAGAGAUUGCGAUUUAGCUCAGGGCUGUUCCAAAAUUUAUUGGUUGGGGGGAUGGGAGGCUCUCAAAUUAAAUUUAAUAUAGGUGGUAGCAUUUUCAUUAGGAUUGCAAAAGUUUUGCAAAAUUGGGAUUGUUGAAAGGAAUUCCGCACACUUUGCAGGUUUAGACAAGUUCUGUAUCAUAUCCCUAACUUAUGUAAAAAUAUGUAUUCAAUUGUUAUACCAUAGAACUAGUUAUGAUCAUUUUAAAGGAUGUCAGUGCUGAAUUCAUUAAAUAACUGUUUCUCUAAUGAUGUUUUCUUGAUUAUUUUUAUUUAAUCAACGUGUGGUUCGUUUGAUCUCACUUCUUCAUUGGUCAAAACUUUAUUAUGAUGUCAAAGUUUCUUCCUGUCAUCUGAAUUUCCUAUUGUGACGUCAUGAAAAAAGGCGACCAUGUCUGAUGACGUCACAUAAAAAGAACACAUCUUUUUGCAGAUCAUUUGAAAAGAAUGAUCUAAAUAUAAUUAGAGAAACAGAUUCCACAACAAAAUCUAUUGCAAUACGAUAUUUAUCUAUUCUCGACAGUUAAAUUGUCUCGUGUGGAUACAUAUCGUAUCACACUUCAUGCAGUGGUAGAAUCUAAAUACAUCUCAUGGUCAAAAUCUGUAUAGUUAGUAUAUUUGGAUAGGAUGUCUGUAUAUAUACACAAGUUAUGUCAUACCAAAGUGAUUUCCUGAUGUAGAUAUUAUAUAAUAUUAAUUUAAUUUUACCAUCAUUUCAAUAUAGUAUGGAUGUUGAAAUUACAAAAUGAGCCGCUAAAUUUUUUUCUAUACUGAAUUUUUUUUUACAGUAUACCAAUAUCAUUUUCUAUAGAUAUUUAAGCACUUCUACUUUAGAAAUUUGAAUAAAAAAAUGAAUCAAUAUAUUGGAAGCAUGGACUUAUUUUUUUUGCAUUGCUAAAAUCUUUUGAAAAAGACCUACUAAUUACAGGCAGGUGUUGUAUUGUGAAUUUUUGCUUGCAUUUGUUUUUUAAAAAUUGUCGAAAAAUUGAUGCAAAUGCCAAAUAAAUAAGGUGACUUAAGAAAUUAUUGCAUCCAGAUAAUGCUAUCAACAUUAAAAAUUCUUGAGUUUUUAUUUUAGCAAAAAAUAGUAUGUUACAAUUUUUGAAACAAUAAAAUCUUCACAAAAUUUUUUUAAUUUACAGUACAUUAUAUUAUUAUUACAAUUCAAUAUUUAAAAAUACAACUGAAAGUUAAUUGUCUGAUGAAACACCAAAAUAAGCAGACAUCCAUUCUCACAAAGGGCUUUUCCAGAAAUAAUUGUAUGGGGGGGGGGGGGGGGGGGGGGGGAGUUGAGUGUUGGAAGACACUUGAAUUAAAAUUUGAUGGGUGGUGGUUAUUUUAGACAUAUAGCCCUAACAAUUACAUGAAAUGAUGAAUGAAAAUUUGAUGCAUGGCGAGAUUAAAUAAAAAAUAAAAAGUGCAUUCAAUAUUUUUUUCGUAAUAGAUUACUGUAGUUCUUUCCAGUUAAAUUUGGAUUAUCUCCCUUUUAUCUUUAACUAGCAUAGGUGUUUAGUGUGUGUGUGAUUGUAUCAAUGGUGCAAGUACUUUGUUUCAUUAUGACAAUAAAUAUAGGUGUAUUUUUUUAAAUGGGGAAUUGGAUUUUUUUUUUUUUUAUAAAAAUCGGGAUUGAAAUACUUGAAAUUGUGAAACAUUUCAUGUAUUUACAUUAAUAUUAGUUUUCUAAUAAAUUGGACACAUUUAAUCGUAGUAAUUUACUAUCAUAAGGCCAGUCAGUGAUAUCUUACUUAUACUUUCUAAUGGUAAAAGACCAAGAUAUGUUUGUGAAUCAAAUAGACUAUAAAAUACAUUAUAAUUGUACAUGUAUUUCAAUUUUACUUGCAAUAAAAUUUAAUAAGCUUU